rnacentral:lncRNA from 1 species
GGUCAUGUUCAUGAAUAUGCGUUUUCUUUUGAUACAUCUCAUGGUUGGAGAAGCAAAUCGCCAGAUUCGAAGCAGCACUGAUUUUGAAUGGAAGAUGUGCUUUGCCUCGCAUCUUGCUUCAGAAAGUGAGAAUUUGGUAGGUUUACUUUUAAAUGUGAACUGAAUCGAAUCUCUUCUCUCUCCCUCUCAUUCCCUCUUUCCCAUUUUUGCUCAUUCUUCCUUCUGCGUCUCAGUCCUUAUUGUACUGUUUUGGUGGGCCCUCUCAUUUUCUAGGCUUCUUUUCUAAACACAUUUUGCGCUUCUGCACAACCAUGUAUGCUGGCACCUCCUUCUCAUGAGUAUAAGGUACCAUCCUGGCUUCAUAAGCAAUGACACUGAAAAUCAGUAACAGAUGGAAUGGGGAUUUUUAAUUUGCUUUUAUUCCAAGAGACAAGCUCAUAUACCGUAUUUUUCACACCAUAGGACGCACUUUUUCCCUCCCAAAAAGCAAGGGAAAAUGUGUGUGCGUCCUAUGGAGCGAAUGCAGGGGGGAGGCAGGCGGGAAAAGCCCUCAAGAGCCACACACAAGCUUUGUGCGCUCUUGCGGGCUUUUCUCCAGGAGGGAGAAGGGACUGACUGGCCGCAUCAGUCCCUUCUCCCUCCUGGGGGAAAAGCCCCCAAGAGCGGCGCCCUCUUUAAAGGCUGUGCGGCUCCUGCAGGCUUUUCUACGAGGUGGGGGAAUCCCCCCACCUCCCAGAAAAGCCAGGAGAAGCCGCGCAGCCCCUUUAAAGAGCGCACGGCUUCUGCGGGAGGUGGGGGAAGCUGCAGCAGAUUCCCUCCUCCCGGGCUCCCUUUGAAGCGGCAAUGUGGGAGGGGAGCAGCUUACACUCGUGUAAGCAGCUCCUCUCCCACUUUCCUGCUUCAAAGCAACUACGGAGGAGGGAAGGAAGGGGACCAUGGAUCCUCCAUUGCUAGAGGCUGCAGCAGAUUCCCUCCUCCUGGGCUCCCUUUGAAGCAGCAAAGCGGGAGGGGAGCAGCUUACACUCGUGUAAGCAGCUCCUCUCCCACUUUCCUCCUUCGAAGCAACUACGGAGGAGGCAAGGAAGGGGACCAUGGAUCCUCCACUGCUAGAGGCUGCAGCGGAUUCCCUCCUCCGUGAUUGCUUUGAAGCGGCAAUGUGGGAGGGGAGCAGCUUACACUCGUGUAAGCAGCUCCUCUCCCACUUUCCUCCUUCGAAGCAACUACGGAGGAGGGAAGGAAGGGGACCAUGGAUCCUCCACUGCUUGCGGCUGCAGCAGAUUCCCUCCUCCUGGGCUCCCUUUGAAGCAGCAAAGCGGGAGGAGCAGCUUACACUCAUGUAAGCAGCUCCUCUCCCACUUUCCUGCUUCAAAGUGGAGGGAAUCCACUGCAGUUGCGAGCAGAGGAUCCAUGGCUCCGCUUCCUUCCCUCGAAGCAGGGUGCGGAGGUGCAGGAGGGAAAGGAAAUAGAUGCCGGGCAGGAAGACACAACCACACUUGGACCACUGAAAGUCCACCCCAGCCUCCCCAGAUUUCCACUGAGACGGCCAGGCUAAUCUCGAUGGCCAUAAGUCAGGCUCAGCAUUAUUAACUGGACUUAGAUAAGCCAUGGUUCCCCUUCCUACCCUCCUCUGAGGCUCAGUUUAAAGCAGCAAAGCGGACAGGAGCCACCCGCUUUGCUGCUUUAAAUAGUUUAGUGCAACAUUUGAUUCAGAAUAUUUUUUUCCGUAUUUUCCUCCUCUAAAAACUGUUGGGAUACUGCCAGGGAGAUAAAGUCCAUCAAGGCCCCCAAGCCGUCUGCCGGACGAUCCAUCGACCUCCCGUAGGCACGCAGCGACAUGAGUUUCUAGAAAAUAUCUUGCCACAUUCUAGAGCUCAUGCACACUCUAUCAGCAGAUAAUGCACAGCCAAAAGUUGCAGUCAGGAGAGCAUUAUUUACAAGUUUAUUCAGUGUUGAUCAGAACACAGAAAAACAUGACUGACUGCUUUAGUGUCUGCGACACACAGAGAAAACGAAAGCAACAGAAAACAUAAACAUCCUGUGAACAGGAAAUACGCAGACUCUGACUCACAAAGCCUGCUCCCUUUUAAGGUGGAACGGAAAUAUCCUAACAUCCUCCCCCUUUCCGUGUAACCUGUAGUACCUGUGGUUCAACCCAAUUGCAACCUUUGUACGUAAACCUUAAGUUGUUCUCUGUUAACAACCUUAGACAACAGAUCAGCAGGAAUUUCAUUUCCUGGCAUAUAGGACACCUGAAUGAGUCCUUUCUGAAUACACUCUCUUGCACGAUGUAGCUUAAUCUGCAAGUACUUGGUCCUUUGCUUGCAACUCUCCGAGUUCAACAAAGCCAAACACGAUCUAUUGUCUUGAUACACUUGUACAGGACAUUUCACAGAAACUCCGAUGUCCUUAAACAGUUGCAUCAACCAUUCACAAUCCAUGAAUGAAAAUGACAGAGCAUUGAGUUCUGCUUCAUAGGAACUUAGGCUCACUGUCGUCUGCUUUUUGCACAACCAGUCAAACAGGCAGUGGUUGUACAUGUAGCAUACUCCAGAAGUGCUCGUACCAUCCAUGGUGUCACUUCCAAAACUUGCAUCUGCAAAGAUUUCAAGACCUCCAGUCUUCUGACUGGUGAACCUCAGCCUGUAGUGCAUAGUCCCUUUCAAAUAGCGGGCUAUGCGCUUCAGAGCUUUCCACUCCCGAACAGUAGGAUAGUUAGCAUGUCUGCUAAGCAGGUUAGUGCUUACAGCUAUGUCAGGUCUUGAGCAUCUAGCAAUGAAAUUCAACUUGCCUAGAAUGCACCUGUACAGCGUAGUGUCAGAAAACGCUUCAGCAGUACUGUCUACCUGGUAACCUGUCACCAUCGGUGUGUCUGCUGGGUUUGCAUCAACCAAAUUCAACCUGGUUAAUACAUCAGCAAUUUUCUGUGUUUGGUGUACCAGAAAAUUACCUGCUUGGUCCCUCUCCACCUGCAGAGAAAGAUAGUUGGAUACCUCACCAAGAUCCUUCAUGUCAAAGUGCUCCUUCAGUUGAGCUAGGGUGCUUUGGUACAAAGCCUGAUUCUUCCAAAACAUCAGAAGAUCAUCAACAAAACAUAAACAAUACAGUUUGUUAUGCCCCUCCUCCUUGACAAACACACAUGGAUCAGCCUUGCCCUGGUGAAAACCUAGAGAAAGCAACGUCUCAGUGAGUUUCGUGUUCCAACACCUGGCACUCUGCUUGAGACCAUAUAAGGAUUUCCGCAGUUUACAGACCAUUCCCUUCUGUAUCUGCAUCUCAUCAGGUGGAAGCAUAAACAGCUCCUCCCCAGAAUCCCGUACAAAAAGCUGUAUUAAUGUCAUGAUGGGAAACAUGCAGUUUCUCCUCUGCAGCUAUCUUGAGCAUCAGCCGAAUGCUCUCAUAUUUGACUGUGGGUGAGUAGGUCUCGUGGUAAUCCUGUCCUGGUACCUGUGAAAAACCUCUGGCAACCAAUCUGGCUUUGUGUCUAACUACCUUGCCAUUCUGGUCUGUCUUGGCCUUGAAGACCCAUUUGCUGCCAACCAGUCUCAUUCCUGGGACAACCGGUACCAGUUCCCAAGUUUGGUUCCUGUUCAAGGAAUCAACUUCAGCCUUCAUGGCAUUAAGCCAAGGCUCAGCAUCUUUAGAGGUUAACUCCUGAACCUCUUUGAAGCUUGAAGGUUCCCACACCUUCUCUGAGUUACUAAGAACAGCAGUUGCUGUCUUAGCAAACUCAUCAGCAAAUCUCUUUGGAGGUCUGCCCUUGGUGGCUCUUUCAGAUCUGCGUAUUAGACGCAAGUCUUCUGGACUCAUCUCCUCUUUCUUAGGAGAAAAGUGACCAAUGGUGAACAGUGGUUCUUCCAGUUCAUUGUCAGACGCAUCAGAUGGUCUGACUGAGGCCUUUGCGCUCUUGUAGUCUGCUGUGUCAUCACUGUCACCGACAUCAGCAGCAGCGCCGCCCACUGAGCUGGAAUCCAAACUCUGAUCAUCAUCAUCAUCCUCAGCAGCUUCCUCAGCUUUAGCUGCUUCUUUCACAUCACCUUCAUCCUCCUCUGGGUAACUCUGGAAAAUUCCCACAUUUUCCCCCCACUUAGGAUUGUACUCAACACUCUUUGUGAACUUAAUGGACUUAGAGUUAGUCAUCCAUACCCUGUAUGCACCUUUUUCGUACCCCAUGAACAAACCAUGUGCCCCACGCUUCCCAAGCUUGUUGCUCUGUGGGGUGUGUACCCACAUGUCAGAACCAAAGAUUCUCAUGUGUUUGAUGUUGGGUUUCUUACCAAACAUCUUCUCAUAGGGGGUACAACCAAUAGGUGAUGACAAUCUGUGAUUAUAAGUGUAAGCAAAAUUCGACAGAGCCUCCCCCCAAUACUUAUCAGGGAGAUUGGCAUCAUGCAACAAUGUUUUCAUCCCUUGCAGCAACGUUUGAUUUGCUCGCUCCGCAAGCCCAUUCAUCCAUGGCGAUCUAGGCGUUGACAAGUCAUGCUGGAUUCCCUUCUCAGUCAGGAAAGCUUCAAACUGCUGAGAAGUGAACUCCCGCCUCGAUCAGUAAACAGACAGCCAAUACGUUUACCGUGAACAUUCUCCAACCAAGCACAGAAUGCCUUGAACUUAGGAAACGCUUGAGAUUUCUGCUCGAGCAUAAACACAUGAAUGUACCUGGAAAAAGAAUCAAUUAGAACCAUGAAGUACCUUGCUCCACCCAAAGAGGGCGCAAGUGGACCAACCAGGUCUGCGUGCACUAGCUGGUAGGGUUUGGAAGCCUGCCUGCUAGACUCCUUGCCUUUUGGAGCAACCUUCACCUUGUUCUCUGCACAAGAUACACAUUUCAUGUGAAACCUACAGGGUUUGAUGUUCAAACCCUCAACCAUCUCUGGCAUCUUGGCCAGUGCCUUCCAAGAGAGGUGGCAAAACCUUCGAUGUGCAUCGUGAAUGCAUCCUGCAUGAAGAACUUUGUUAGUUUGUGUAACACAACAAGAAUCAGCAUUAGACACAACAGCACCAUUGUCGUCAUAAGUUAUACAGAACAAGCCAUCCAUAAACUUUGCAUGCAAAAUGUCCUCUUUGCCUUUUCUGAUGACACAGACGCUCCUCUUGAAGGAAAUCUCAAAACCACGCCCAGUCAGCUGUGGGACACUGAGCAAAUUGUCUGCAGCGCCUGGAACAUACAGUACAUCUUUGAUGGUCGUGUGCAGACUUGCCAGUUUCACAGUCCCUUCUCCUGCAAUUCGCAAUGUCUUUCCAUCAGCCAGGUGGAUCUCACCUUCUUGAGGUUUGAAGGAGAUAAAUAGGUGGCGGUCUUUUGAGACAUGGCGGGUACAGCCUGAAUCAACAACAAACCUGGCCUUGGCCUUUGGAGCAGUCUUUGCAGCAAGCAAAACCUUGUUUUCCACCGGCGUGAGCUUUGCAGCUUGCCCCCUGCUCCUGGCCAUCAGACUUGCCUUUAGCCUUUGGUGAGGCUGUGCCAGCAAACAAAACCUUGUUUUCCACUGGCGUGGGCUUUUGCAGCUUGCCCCCCUGCUCCUGGCCAUCAGACUUGCCUUUAGCCUUUGGUGAAGUUGUGCCAGCAAACAAUGCCUUGUUUUCCUCUGGCGUGGGCUCUUCACCCUCCCUCUGCUUCUGGCCAUCUGCAGGCGUCUGCAUCUGUUUACCUUUGCCCUUCCGGCCUCUGCAAAGGCGAUGACCUUGGCUCCCACGAGAAACAGAGUUCUCAGCUGCCGACUCCUUGGCUCCCCCUGGAGGCUGGAAUGCUGCCUGGGAUGACGUGACAGUCAGCUCCCCUGCAGCUUGCAACCGGUGCCCUCGGCAUCCCUGCAUUCACUCGCAUUCUGGGAAACAGCCAGGACCUCCGAUGCAGUCAAACUCUGGGCUGGGAUGACUGGCAAAUGGGCUAUCUUCAAAGCAUGCCACAUCUUACGUGCAGUCAUAUUGCCAGCAAGCGUCUUUAUUUCCUCCAGAGAGACGGACAAGACGAUUACGUCUAUCGCCUUCGAAUUUUCGGCCUUCCAUCUAUCUGUCAGAGGAACUGGAGGGGCCUCCCACACAGUAUGCCACACUCCAAACUGACGCAGCAAGCUCUCACACCAUUUUGCCCAGGUCUGAUAGUUGUGCCGAUUUAACUUUGGGCACUCAGCAGCCUCAGAAGCCUGGAAAAACUCCAUUCCAGGUUUCUACUUGAGCCGUGAGCCUUUAUGCCUUCAAAACGUCUUAUCUCGGCAGCCAUAAAUCUUGAGGCCUUUGGCGCGGCUCCCAGAUCCAAUUAGGCCUGCCGGACAUCAAAGAGACUUUGCCGCGGCAAACAGAAAAGCCUUACUUUCGCUUUUCCUCCACAUACCUUUCAGCAGUCUGUCGCAGUCUUACUCUCCUGUAAGUGCUGUGAAUCUGGGCCCGAAACCUGUUGUUGGGAUACUGCCAGGGAGAUAAAGUCCAUCAAGGCCCCCAAGCCGUCUGCCGGACGAUCCAUCGACCUCCCGUAGGCACGCAGCGACAUGAGUUUCUAGAAAAUAUCUUGCCACAUUCUAGAGCUCAUGCACACUCUAUCAGCAGAUAAUGCACAGCCAAAAGUUGCAGUCAGGAGAGCAUUAUUUACAAGUUUAUUCAGCGUUGAUCAGAACACAGAAAAACAUGACUGACUGCUUUAGUGUCUGCGACACACAGAGAAAACGAAAGCAACAGAAAACAUAAACAUCCUGUGAACAGGAAAUACGCAGACUCUGACUCACAAAGCCUGCUCCCUUUUAAGGUGGAACGGAAAUAUCCUAACAGAAUAUUUUUUUUCGUAUUUUCCUCCUCUAAAAACUAGGUGCGCCCUAUGGUCAGGUGCGCCCUAUGGAGCGAAAAAUACGGUAAUCACUGAAAAUGUUAGAAGGACUUGUUUUGAUGUGGUUGAAGAAGAAGGAGACUCUAGCUGGACAUCAAACAGGAUCCAGUGACUCUCAUAGUGAGGGGACACCUCUGAUUUUUUUAAGGGAUCCUGGGUAAUCAAGCAGUGAUCAGUUCUUGAGUUUGCCUAAAAAUCAAGCGAAAAUUACAAGAGUUACUUCUGUUUCAGCAGCACUCAGAAAACUAUGAAAUUGAAGGGGAAAGGGGGGGGGGACCUUGUAGACAAGAAUGAAUAUCCUGUCAUGGUUUUACAUCUUUAUUUAGGAUCUAGCUCAGCUUGGCACUGAACAACAGCAACAAAUGAAAACUCACUUAAUGGAAAAAAGGAAUAUAAUAAAAUAUUAUAUGUCCAUAAUAUAAGCAGGUAAAAUAUAGCUAGCAUUAUAGAUCUAAAAGAAAAGGAAGAAGGAAGAAUUUAGGUGAUUCUUCGGAACAUUCAUUUCCCAUAAUGAACUCAGGCCAGAAUGUUUCACAUACUUGGAACUAAGUCCUAUUAAACUCAGUGAGGCUUACUUCUGAGUAGAUAUGCCUAGGGCUGUUCUGUCACAUUCUAAUGAACAAAUGACAUAUUCCAAUAACGAGGUCAGCUUUGAGAAUGUACAAAAGAAGAAACACUCAAGAGAUAUUCACAUGAGGGUUUUUUUUAGAAUUCAUCAUCAAAGGAAUUAGUGAUGGGAGGAAUAUGCAGAAACCCAGGGAUGAAAAUUGAAUUGCACCUUCCCGCAACCAGUUCUGUUGUUAUGGAAACACAGAGAAUGACAUCUUUCUUUUUUUAUUAAUGGAUAUGCUAAUGAGCUGAGGACUUCAAUGUAUAUGGGAGUUUCCUUUAAAACAUAUAUGCAUUGUUUCUAUUUAUGGAAUUGUCGUUGGUUUCACAAAAGCACUAAAUAAAUGGAAAUACACUAGGUAUAGAAUUGCAGCUACAUGCUACCCAUGUGGGCUUGUACAGGAUUACACUACAAGUCAUUUCACCCUCUUAUCGUAUUAUGGACGCUGUCCCAUGGAAAGCCUUCGAUAUCUGCAAGCAAUGAAUCUUACAAGAAUGCAC